rnacentral:rRNA from 1 species
UACGUAGGGGGCGAGCGUUGUCCGGAAUCAUUGGGCGUAAAGCGCGUGUAGGCGGCUUGGUAAGUCCGGUGUGAAACCUUGGGGCUCAACCCCAAGCCUGCACUGGAUACUGCCUCGCUUGAGUCCGGGAGGGAGAGCGGAAUUCCUAGUGUAGCGGUGAAAUGCGCAGAUAUUAGGAAGAACACCUAUGGCGAAGGCAGCUCUCUGGGACGGUACUGACGCUGAGACGCGAAAGCGUGGGGAGCGAACAGG